GCCUGGAUGGCUUAGUUGGUUGAGCGUCCGACUUCAGCUCGGGUCAUGAUCUCACAGCUUGUGGGUUUGAGCCCCGCAUCAGGCU
rnacentral:tRNA from 1 species